rnacentral:pre_miRNA from 1 species
GAGGUACUCCCUCCGUUCCAAAUUACUUGUCUUAGAUUUGUCUAGAUGCGGAGGUAUCUAGCACUAAAAUGAGUCUAGAUACAUCCGUAUCUAGACAAAUCCAAGACAAGUAAUUCGGAACGGAGGGAGUAUUUG